UUGCAUCUGGCAAGCAAUGCAGCACGAGCCUUCCCCACAUUCUCCGGCUUGCCAGCCCAGGCCUUGAGGGUACUCUGCUGAAGAGCACGUCCAAAGGAAAAGGAUAGAGACCAUGGCUUCUUGGUGUUUAGUUUGUUCAUGGCAUUGAGGUUGAGGGUGGCCUCCUCCUCACUCUGGCCACCAGACAAGAAUACAAUAGCAGGAACUGCAGGGGGCACAGUACGUUGAAGUGCACGGACUGUGUACUCGGCAAUAACCUCAUGUGCAACCUUGGGAGCUUCUGAUCCAGGAGUAACCAUGUUC
rnacentral:lncRNA from 1 species